rnacentral:rRNA from 1 species
CCGUCAAUUCCUUUGAGUUUCAUUCUUGCGAACGUACUCCCCAGGUGGGAUACUUAUCACUUUCGCUUAGCCACUCAGAUUGCUCCGAACAGCUAGUAUCCAUCGUUUACGGCGUGGACUACCAGGGUAUCUAAUCCUGUUCGCUCCCCACGCUUUCGUCCAUCAGCGUCAAUCCAUUAGUAGUAACCUGCCUUCGCAAUUGGUAUUCCAUGUAAUCUCUAAGCAUUUCACCGCUACACUACAUAUUCUAGUUACUUCCUAAUAAUUCAAGUCUUGCAGUAUCAAUGGCCGUUCCACCGUUGAGCGAUGGGCUUUCACCACUGACUUACAAAACCGCCUACGGACCCUUUAAACCCAAUGAUUCCGGAUAACGCUUGGAUCCUCCGUAUUACCGCGGCUGCUGGCACGGAGUUAGCCGAUCCUUAUUCUCACAGUACCGUCAAGCUCGGACACGUCCGAGUGUUUCUUCCUGUGCAAAA